GACGAGGUGAUAAAUCCGGCGUCGAGCAAAUGACCGCCCUUUCGAACAGCAAGUCUGACCACAUCUCAUGAAAGAAAUCACUGUAUUUCGACAAUGAUUCUUUAGAGGCUGAAAAAAGAAAGAGUCAGUGGAAAAUGUUUUAAAGGUUCUUGAGAGUGAUACGCAGUAGUGUAAACGUAGUUUCCUACCAAAGGAGUUUCCGUGCCUUCAAAUCGUCACCCCACGCUGGAAUGAUUCACGGCUGUUGGCCACAUCGACACACAGUCUUCACGUACAUCGAAAGGACAUACAGUUUUCAUCUACUUCGAAAGGGCACACAAUCUUUACCUACAUCGAAAGGACAUACAUUCUUCAUUUACAUCGGAAGGACAUACAGUCUUCACCUACAUCGAAAGACAUAAAGUCUUCAUCUACAUCGAAAUGACAUACACUCUUCUUCUACAUCGAAAGGACAUACAAGGCUUCAUCUACAUCGGAAGGACAUUACAGUUUUCACCUACAUCGAAAGGACAGUCUUCAUCUACAACGAAAUGAUACACAAUCUUCAUCUCCUUCUGGAGGAGACAUGGUCUUCAAACACUUUCUUGAUUUAUACUACGGGAUUAUAUAAUUUACAAAGGAGGAAUACAAAUUUCCCAACAGACGAA